UUUUUUUUAAAUACAAUUCUGUGGGAACAUUCAAAUGUACAACAACUACAAAAAAAAGAAAUCAUUAAAAAAUAAUAUUGAAAAAAAAAAAAAAUGUUUAAAAAAAAUGGCAGCUGCCAACCGCAACUUAGCAGAACUGACUGAACUGGUAUCUUUGUUACACAGGCAAGUGUACUCCGAUAUCUACAUACAUAUUUCACUUUCUAUACAUACAUAUACACACACACCACUUCUACACAUGCUUUCCUUCCUCUUACAACAUUACCAAUCAAAAAAAGAAACCCAUGUGCAUAUAUAUAUAUAAUAUAUAAAAUAUAUAUAUAUAUGUUUGUGUGUGUGUGUGUACAUACAUGAGUAUAUGUACAUGCAUACAUAAUGGAACUUGCAGGCAAGAUUAUGAACUGUGAACAUUUAAUAAACAGCAAAAAUUUCACCCGGAAUAUUUUUUCCCCCCUCCUUGCAACUUGAUGGACAAUUCCCCCUUCCCCUCCCCCCUUGUUUUUUUAAAAAAAAAGGAAAAAAAUCUGACUCCGCAUCAAGUCAUUUGUACUUUUUGACUGUUUGUUCUGGGCAGUUUUACCAUUUUGCUUCAAGUGCUUCUGUUACUUCAAAACACGGCAGAAGCAUUCUCCCCCGUUCAAUUACCAAUGAGAAGUUUAUCUACUUCAGAGACUUUGUUAACCCGUCUAUAGAAAUUCAACUACUCAAACAAGGAUUUCCGAUUCUUGGGCAAUACAAGGAAUUAUGCAGUGCAGUGGCUUUAUUUGCAAAAGAGAUAUAUAGAGAGAGAGAGAGAGAGAAAAGCAUGAUUUGAGGAUGCCAGGCAGAAGACGGGAAGAGUGGCGGGAAAAGAGUCACGGUUGCUAAUUUUGUUGUUUUUUUUUUUUCAAACCUCAAAUGAGACUGAGCUGGCAUCAUAAAAACACACGGCAACUGAAAUUUCAAACUUUAAAAGCAAGCUGUAACUCCAUCCUGCCAUAUUUUACUUACGAUAAAUCUCUCUGUCCCUUUUUUCUUCUUUUUUUGGUUGGUUGCAUGGUUGUUUAAGGGGACUGGCUAGAAGCUAAGAAAAAUCUCAUUCCCACCCAUCCAGUCAUUUUUUGUUAUAUUUUGACAUUAUAUGUUCUUAUAUAUGCAGAGAGGAAAAUUAAAUUAAAUUCACUCACCGCGAGGUCAACCACUCCGUUCUAGUGCCAGGAAGGCAGCGCAUCUUAAGGGGAGACAACUCCCCUCAGUCUUAAGGGAGACAACUCAUAAUCCCUUCCCUCCUCACUCCCAAAAAGAAAAAAAAAAAUUACCAGAAACUUAUCAAUAGCUUUUGAUUUAAACUAAAACAGUAAAAAAAGAA